UGGCUCUCGCAUCGAUGAAGAACGCAGCGAAAUGCGAUAAGUAAUGUGAAUUGCAGAAUUCAGUGAAUCAUCGAAUCUUUGAACGCACCUUGCGCCCUCUGGUAUUCCGGAGGGCAUGCCUGUCUGAGUGUCGUGUAGACUCAAUCCACCGGGUUUCCGGUCGAUUGGACUUGGGCGUUGCCUCUUGGCUCGCCUCAAAUGCCUUAGCGGUGGGACCUUACGGCCGACGUAUCAAGUUUCGUCGGCGGACCGGUCCCGUCGCUCAGAAUCGCCACUCUUUUGCCUUUGACCUCAGAUCAGGUAGGACUACCCGCUGA
rnacentral:misc_RNA from 1 species